rnacentral:lncRNA from 1 species
GUUUUAAUGUUGAGUUUAAUAACAGUGGUGUCGAAGCUCUAAAGAUGGAUCACGUCAUUUGACGAAUCUAGAAAGGCAGCGGUCCCACAUCGUCGUCUUGGAAGAAGCACUACGAAGAAAACGGCAUCAUCUUCAUCAUUACUAAGGUCGGAAUUGCUAUCCCAACCAAAUGAAUUUAACUACUUGAAAUAGUUGGUAUGUGUGUGGUUUGAUUAUG